CAGAAACACUCAUGUUGCUGCAACUCAGGUACUCUGUGGCAACUGCAUCCCAGGGCUAACCAAGCCCGGGCCCCCACAAGGGCUCACGAUGAACGGGGUUGGUGGUGCGACCGACAUCAUCCCCCUGGCGGAGCGCAACAGGCCGUCGGGUGGCGGAACAGGCCCAGACAAGGCCCCAGCAGAGGCCCACAAACAAGC